AACGCGAAGAACCUUACCUACCCUUGACAUCGAGAGAGCUUUCCAGAGAUGGAUUGGUGCCUUCGGGAACUCUCAGACAGGUGCUGCAUGGCUGUCGUCAGCUCGUGUUGUGAAAUGUUGGGUUAAGUCCCGUAACGAGCGCAACCCUUGUCCCUAUUUGCCAGCGAUUCGGUCGGGGACUCUAGGGAGACUGCCGGUGACAAACCGGAGGAAGGUGGGGACGACGUCAAGUCAUCAUGGCCCUUACGGGUAGGGCUACACACGUGCUACAAUGGCCGGUACAAUGGGUUGCGAAUCCGCGAGGUGGAGCUAAUCCCAUAAAGCCGGUCUCAGUCCGGAUCGGAGUCUGCAACUCGACUCCGUGAAGUCGGAAUCGCUAGUAAUCGUGAAUCAGAAUGUCACGGUGAAUACGUUCCCGGGUCUUGUACACACCG
rnacentral:rRNA from 1 species